rnacentral:rRNA from 1 species
UACGUAGGGGGCAAGCGUUGUCCGGAAUCAUUGGGCGUAAAGAGCGUGUAGGCGGUCCGGUAAGUCCGCUGUGAAAGUCGGGGGCUCAACCCUCGAAUGCCGGUGGAUACUGUCGGGCUAGAGUCCGGAAGAGGCGAGUGGAAUUCCUGGUGUAGCGGUGGAAUGCGCAGAUAUCAGGAGGAACACCAAUAGCGAAGGCAGCUCGCUGGGACGGUACUGACGCUAAGGCGCGAAAGCGUGGGGAGCGAACAGG